AGUUGAAAGGGGAGCUUUGCUGGUCUGUGAAGGCAGUGGGCCGGAACUAGCGGGGAGAAGGGAGGGCAUUCUUCCCAAGCAAAGCCAGAAGAACCAAGGACACUCACAAUUGCCUGCAAAAGGAAAAAGAAUACAAUGGAUUCCAAGUAAUCUACCGUCCUCAUCACAGCUUGUCACAAACACCUGGUGCAUCUUUUCAGCCCAGCGUGAAAACACACACGUGUGAUCACUCGCUCACUGACUUCAGGAACACAGCCUCAGCCCCACAUUCCAAGAGCAUUUGCUGAGAAACUUCCUCUCACUGUAGUCAUUUCCCCGGAAGAACAGCAAAAACUGUUUUUGACCUGACAGUAUGGCUUUCAUUGCUGCUGAAGUUAAGUGAAAGUACCAUUGUUAAUAUUAACCCUAAAAAUUUUUUUCUUAAA